GAGUUUGAUCCUGGCUCAGGAUGAACGCUGGCGGCGUGCUUAACACAUGCAAGUCGAACGGGAAUUACUUUAUUGAAACUUCGGUGGAUUUAAUUUAAUUCUAGUGGCGGACGGGUGAGUAACGCGUGGGUAACCUGCCUUGUACAGGGGGAUAACAGUCAGAAAUGACUGCUAAUACCGCAUAAGCGCACAGCAUCGCAUGAUGCAGUGUGAAAAACUCCGGUGGUAUAAGAUGGACCCGCGUUGGAUUAGCUAGUUGGUGAGGUAACGGCCCACCAAGGCGACGAUCCAUAGCCGGCCUGAGAGGGUGAACGGCCACAUUGGGACUGAGACACGGCCCAGACUCCUACGGGAGGCAGCAGUGGGGAAUAUUGCACAAUGGGGGAAACCCUGAUGCAGCGACGCCGCGUGGAGGAAGAAGGUUUUCGGAUCGUAAACUCCUGUCCUUGGAGACGAGUAGAAGACGGUAUCCAAGGAGGAAGCCCCGGCUAACUACGUGCCAGCCGCCGCGGUAAUAC
rnacentral:rRNA from 1 species